AUAGGGGAGCCGUAGGGAAACCGAGUCUUAACCGGGCGUUAAGUUGCAGGGUAUAGACCCGAAACCCGGUGAUCUAGCCAUGGGCAGGUUGAAGGUUGGGUAACACUAACUGGAGGACCGAACCGACUAAUGUUGAAAAAUUAGCGGAUGACCUGUGGCUGGGGGUGAAAGGCCAAUCAAACCGGGAGAUAGCUGGUUCUCCCCGAAAGCUAUUUAGGUAGCGCCUCGUGAAUUCAUCUCCGGGGGUAGAGCACUGUUUCGGCUAGGGGGCCAUCCCGGCUUACCAACCCGAUGCAAACUGCGAAUACCGGAGAAUGUUAUCACGGGAGACACACGGCGGGUGCUAACGUCCGUCGUGAAGAGGGAAACAACCCAGACCGCCAGCUAAGGUCCCAAAGUCAUGGUUAAGUGGGAAACGAUGUGGGAAGGCCCAGACAGCCAGGAUGUUGGCUUAGAAGCAGCCAUCAUUUAAAGAAAGCGUAAUAGCUCACUGGUCGAGUCGGCCUGCGCGGAAGAUGUAACGGGGCUAAACCAUGCACCGAAGCUGCGGCAGCGAACGUAUCACCCAAGACAACUUUACGGAGUUGACGAUUGACGGAGCGAAGCGACGUCAAAGCGUUCAUUAAAGUCGAGUUGGCUUAGGGAUACGUUCGUUGGGUAGGGGAGCGUUCUGUAAGCCUGUGAAGGUGUGUCGUGAGGCAUGCUGGAGGUAUCAGAAGUGCGAAUGCUGACAUAAGUAACGAUAAAGCGGGUGAAAAGCCCGCUCGCCGGAAGACCAAGGGUUCCUGUCCAACGUUAAUCGGGGCAGGGUGAGUCGACCCCUAAGGCGAGGCCGAAAGGCGUAGUCGAU
rnacentral:rRNA from 1 species